UACGUAGGGCGGCAAGCGUUAUCCGGAAUUAUUGGGCGAAAGAGCUCGUAAGGCGGUUUGUCGCGUCUGCCGUGAAAGUCCGGGGCUCAACUCCGGAUCUGCGGUGGGUACGGGCAGACUAGAGUGAUGUAGGGGGAGACUGGAAUUCCUGGUGUAGCGGUGAAAUGCGCAGAUAUCAGGAGGAACACCGAUGGCGAAGGCAGGUCUCCUGGGCAUUAACUGACGCUGAGGAGCGAAAAGC
rnacentral:rRNA from 1 species